rnacentral:lncRNA from 1 species
AUGUGGAAAAUUCUUUGUCAAAGUGGACAGAAUGAAAAUUUGAUAUGCACUUUUUCUUUCUCUUUAGCAGCUGAAUGUUCAAGAAGAACCAUUCAUUCUCAGCAUAUGAUGAAGGAAAAUAGCAUUUGGUUGACAAAGAGGGGAAACCAUCCCAGUCACUUGAAGAUGAUGCAGAGAUGUGAGCCAAGAACUUCCAGGCCCAUGAACUUCCUCUGCUUCACUCGUAAGGAAUGGUUUUAAGCUCCUGUUGGAGCUGUUUCUUUUCAUGCAGGCUAUUGUCACAGGUCUGCUGUAUCCCAGAUAAACAAAUCCAUCACUCUGUUUCCACUAAUUCUUCUACAGUUGUGUCAAGAUCCUUUAAACUCCUAUUAUUCUUCUCAGCAGAGCCAUGAGCACGUCCAUUUACACCCUUCAGAUUCAGCCUGACUUUGUAGAAGAUUCUUGGCAGGUGAUUCAACAUUUGUGUUUUGCAUCUAUGUGGAAAUGAGAGAGGGCUAAUGAGUUUCUAUUCACUUGGGAAUAGAAUAUCUCCAAGUUCAGCUAUACCUGCCCUUUAUGCCUUAUUUUAGCCCCAAACUCAGCCACCAGAAGCAGCUGUAAUCAAAUUAACUUUUUUUUUUCUUUAAAUGCUUUAAAUAAAGAGGAUCAAAUAAGCA